UAUACUGAAUGUUAUUUAAUCCGACUCUUACAGAGUAGAACCUCAGUUCGAUUUUUAUGCUUGAAGUUUAUAUAAGAAUUUCACAUUCAAACCAUUUGAAGCAGGUUUUACGAAGCAUGUUCUGUCCUUGCGAUUUUAUUUUUGGUCGUUCAUAUCCACUUGACAACACGUUCCAUGGCUACACUAGUGAACUCUAGUGAUAUGGAAAAACUCACUUUCUUCUUGCAUCUGAACCGUACACCAAAAAUUACGUAUCUGAUUCACGGUCCGCGAUCAUCCAAGAACACAUGCGAAUCUGCGAAAGGCACACGGUCAUAAAAUAUAAUUUAUACACGCGAAGUUACAUACACGUUAACAUACGCGACAUAGAAACUCACACGCGAUCGAAAACGUUAAUGUACAAACGCCUAAACCCUUCACUAUGAUACACGCAAUCGCGAACUCCCUACGCCCGCACAUAUCUGAACCGUAAAAUGAAUAUCACAUUCAGAAUCACGGCCCACUGAAAUUGGCCUUAAGUAGUUUAGUGGGUAACAUUUCCCGUCUCGUUUUCAAUUGUAUUGUUGAGAGUCCUGUCGAGACCCUAGCUCUACUGCUCCAGUAGGACAACUCUCGAGAAAAAUGUACUCUGGGUUUUAACUGGAGUGUGCGGCGAAGGGUUACUCCCCCACAUAUCGCACCGCCAUGUCCUAACCCCAACUCGUUAAACCCCCUCAGAUCCCUCUCCACCAGUCCCAUCAGACCCCGAUAAUCUAGGUCAAUCCAAUCUGAUCCCUUAGAUAAACAGCCAAAACAGUGCACCGUAUUAUUCGUAUAAUCUAUUCAAAUUUAUUCACAGAUUCGUUUUUUUCAGGUUUUGAACGUGAUCAUGGAAUUCGGUAAUUAUUCGUUUUCGUGACACGUAUUCAGGACUUUUUUUUGGUAGAAUUGUUUACACCUGAUCUCCAUGAUAGUCCACCCUGGACACUAAUCCAGACACAUUAACCUUCCCAGAAACCAGUGUCAUGCAAACUCGUUCGAGUCCAAAUGCUUUCCGAGUUUCAAAGUUUUGCGAUCGUCUAAAUAUUUCAAAUUAAUGGUAACGAUAAACUUUGUCGGAUAGAAAAACUUUCAGUAUAGUAAUAGUCUGUAUCACCUGGCAAUCUGACUUCCUUGAAUAGCACAAACCGUCGUCUUUUUAUAUCCUUGCAUUAUGGAAACUGUACAAAAGUAAGGACAAUAAGUAGUGGUCGAAAAAUGCAAGUGUUACUCCGGAGCUCCUAUUGAACCACUAAUAAUCUAAUCGUUGCACAAUUAUUUCGUGAUUACUUUGUGUGGAAAUGAACCACAACGGCAGCCGAUACACGUCGUUCGCCUUUGCUAGUGGAGGGAUCGCUGGCAGCGGCGGUGCCCGAGGGGAACUGAGCAGUGGUAAUUUGAGCAGAAAGCUGAGUAGUCCGAUGGCAGAGUCGACACAGCUGGACAGCAGCGGUAUCCGGGGGAAUCUUUACGACAGUCCGGUACAUGUUGGAGUUGGGAAAAGAAGCCUACCUCUCCGUUGCAAAAUAGCAGGACAAAUUUUAGAAGCAGCUGAACGGCGUCCGGGUCCAGUAUGGAUCGAUUGAUUGAUCCUAAGAUUUACACGGAUGUUCAGAGCCGAGGAUUGGUUAACCGGUUGGUAAAGAACCACGAUAAAACGCAAUCGCCGUUAAAUAGGAGUCAAUCGAUGACUAGCCUGUACUCGAAGCCGGGUCAAUUUCCUGUGUGGUGGAGGAGAAAUAAUUCUUCGAUAGCUACCAUUGGUUCGGAUUUCCCCGUCAGAGAAGUCCGUGUUUCAGGCUGACACAAGGUGAAACAUUUUACGGGAGGGAUCGUUGCUCAUUCCGGCGGAACCUCAUCUGAAGAUGGUCCGAACACAUAGACACGAGGAUAAGAUUGAUGCGGAAAAUAGUGUGAUUGCGCCUUCAACAGAACUGGAUGCCGAUUGGAUCAAGAAACAAUGUAAGGAACUAUCGGAGGUUGAUUCAGGCGAAGCUGGUACGAAGCAAGCUCGGGAAAUUACAUACACGGCUUCGCACCCGUGUCGAGGGUCGACGAAUCAGCAGCUACAGACGAAGAAAUGUAGUAAAAAUAAUAAGUUCACUUAGCUCGAGCCUGGUGAUGAACACUCCGAAAGUGGAACACGUAGCGCACCGGCCGGCACGAUUAAAUGUGGAUGUCUCUCGACGCCGGCAACAUUGGAUGCGACGGUUCCAGUUAGCAUGAUUGAAUCGAGCAAACCGGCAAAAUUAAGUAGGAUUGAUUCCGCUCCUUUGCCACAUAUUACGAGAAUUGUUCCGGAGUUUCAACUGCCUCUGAUGGAAUAUCCGCCACUAAAACUAACGUUGUUUAACAAAAAAUACAACGUCCAUGACAUGACGAAACGGUGGUUCGACCCACGUCCACAGACAGUGAAGAUAAGGAUGAUGAUGAUAAAGUAGGCGGACGAAUCAGUUUCAUUAAGCCAAAGGAUAAAUCGCCUAUGCCAAGGUUGUUUUGAAGAGGUUCGAGCGCUCGAAAUCAUCGUUGAUUCUGAGCUGCUUGAGUGAUGAUUUUGAUGAAGACGAGGAAUCGCCUAUAGUUACGCCAUCGCAGGGUUCAUUUUAUACGAUAGACACCGCGGAUGCACCACCGAAGGUUGAAGAGAAGAAACGGCUUCCGUCCCGACAAUGAGCGGUAUUUCAGCAAUAGUUAACAGCCCGAUCAAGGAUCCUGGCCUAGGUAACCGAAACCGGUGGAAAAUGUAAAAACGAUAGAGCAACCGAAGUAAACCACGGGAUUUGCUUUCGGAAGUACAACUGCUACCGUCAGCUCGGCUCCGGUUACAGCACAUCAAUCCGAUACAUAAUUUACGUUUGGGACGCCCACUUAACCGUUACUGCUAAAAUCAUAUCAUCGGAAAUACCACGUAUCGUUUUCCUGUGCUUGGAUUUCGGUACGUACGGAAUCGGACGGCGUUUAUGGCCGAUACCAUUUUAUCGGAAAAUAAUGCGAUUCGAGGUAUUAAUCACACGCCUACAUCAAAAAAUUAUAUAAUUUGCAACUAAUAUUUUAAAA